GAUGAACGCUGGCGGCGUGCCUAAUACAUGCCAGUAGAACGCUGAAGCUUGGUGCUUGCACCGAGCGGAUGAGUUGCGAACGGGUGAGUAACGCGUAGGUAACCUGCCUCUUAGCGGGGGAUAACUAUUGGAAACGAUAGCUAAUACCGCAUAAAAGUCGAUAUCGCAUGAUAUUGAUUUGAAAGGUGCAAAUGCAUCACUAAGAGAUGGACCUGCGUUGUAUUAGCUAGUUGGUGAGGUAACGGCUCACCAAGGCGACGAUACAUAGCCGACCUGAGAGGGUGAUCGGCCACACUGGGACUGAGACACGGCCCAGACUCCUACGGGAGGCAGCAGUAGGGAAUCUUCGGCAAUGGGGGCAACCCUGACCGAGCAACGCCGCGUGAGUGAAGAAGGUUUUCGGAUCGUAAAGCUCUGUUGUAAGAGAAGAACGAGUGUGAGAGUGGAAAGUUCACACUGUGACGGUAACCUACCAGAAAGGGACGGCUAACUACGUG
rnacentral:rRNA from 1 species